AUGAACGCUAGCUACAGGCUUAACACAUGCAAGUCGAGGGGCAGCAUGGUCUUAGCUUGCUAAGGCCGAUGGCGACCGGCGCACGGGUGAGUAACACGUAUCCAACCUGCCGUCUACUCUUGGACAGCCUUCUGAAAGGAAGAUUAAUACAAGAUGGCAUCAUGAGUCCGCAUGUUCACAUGAUUAAAGGUAUUCCGGUAGACGAUGGGGAUGCGUUCCAUUAGAUAGUAGGCGGGGUAACGGCCCACCUAGUCUUCGAUGGAUAGGGGUUCUGAGAGGAAGGUCCCCCACAUUGGAACUGAGACACGGUCCAAACUCCUACGGGAGGCAGCAGUGAGGAAUAUUGGUCAAUGGGCGAGAGCCUGAACCAGCCAAGUAGCGUGAAGGAUGACUGCCCUAUGGGUUGUAAACUUCUUUUAUAAAGGAAUAAAGUCGGGUAUGGAUACCCGUUUGCAUGUACUUUAUGAAUAAGGAUCGGCUAACUCCGUGCCAGCAGCCGCGGUAAUACGGAGGAUCCGAGCGUUAUCCGGAUUUAUUGGGUUUAAAGGGAGCGUAGAUGGAUGUUUGAGUCAGUUGUGAAAGUUUGCGGCUCAACCGUAAAAUUGCAGUUGAUACUGGAUAUCUUGAGUGCAGUUGAGGCAGGCGGAAUUCGUGGUGUAGCGGUGAAAUGCUUAGAUAUCACGAAGAACUCCGAUUGCGAAGGCAGCCUGCUAAGCUGCAACUGACAUUGAGGCUCGAAAGUGUGGGUAUCAAACAGGAUUAGAUACCCUGGUAGUCCACACGGUAAACGAUGAAUACUCGCUGUUUGCGAUAUACAGCAAGCGGCCAAGCGAAAGCGUUAAGUAUUCCACCUGGGGAGUACGCCGGCAACGGUGAAACUCAAAGGAAUUGACGGGGGCCCGCACAAGCGGUGGAGCAUGUGGUUUAAUUCGAAGCAACGCGAAGAACCUUACCAAGUCUUGACAUCCUCUUGACCGGUCAGUAAUGUGGCCUUUUCUUCGGAACAAGAGUGACAGGUGGUGCAUGGUUGUCGUCAGCUCGUGUCGUGAGAUGUUGGGUUAAGUCCCGCAACGAGCGCAACCCUUAAGCUUAGUUGCCAUCAUUAAGUUGGGCACUCUAAUGAGACUGCCGGUGACAAACCGGAGGAAGGUGGGGAUGACGUCAAAUCAGCACGGCCCUUACGUCCGGGGCUACACACGUGUUACAAUGGGGGGUACAGAGGGCCGCUACCACGCGAGUGGAUGCCAAUCCCCAAAACCUCUCUCAGUUCGGACUGGAGUCUGCAACCCGACUCCACGAAGCUGGAUUCGCUAGUAAUCGCGCAUCAGCCAUGGCGCGGUGAAUACGUUCCCGGGCCUUGUACACACCGCCCGUCAAGCCAUGGGAGCCGGGGGUACCUGAAGUGCGUAACCGCGAGGAGCGCCCUAGGGUAAAACUGGUGACUGGGGCU
rnacentral:rRNA from 1 species